rnacentral:rRNA from 1 species
UGCGAAGGGGGCUUGCGUUGUUCGGAAUUACUGGGCGUAAAGAGUGCGUAGGCGGUGCUCUAAGUCUGGUGUGAAAUCUCCCGGCUCAACUGGGAGGGUGCGCCGGAGACUGGAGUGCUAGAGUGUGGGAGAGGUAAGCGGAAUUCCUGGUGUAGCGGUGAAAUGCGUAGAUAUCAGGAGGAACACCUGUGGUGUAGACAGCUUACUGGACCACGACUGACGCUGAGGCACGAAAGCGUGGGUAGCAAACAGG